rnacentral:rRNA from 1 species
AUUGAACGCUGGCGGCAGGCCUAACACAUGCACGUCGAACGAGUGGCGGACGGGUGAGUAAUGUCUGGGAAACUGCCUGAUGGAGGGGGAUAACUACUGGAAACGGUAGCUAAUACCGCAUACCAUCGGAUGUGCCCAGAUGGGAUUAGAUAGUAGGUGGGGUAACGGCUCACCUAGGCGACGAUCCCUAGCUGGUCUGAGAGGAUGACCAGCCACACUGGAACUGAGACACGGUCCAGACUCCGACGGGAUGAAGCAGUGGGGAAUAUUGCACAAGGGGCGGAAGCCUGAUGCAGCCAGGCCGCAUGUAGGAAGAAGGCCUUCGGGUUUGAAAGUACUUUCAGCGGGGAGGCGUUACCCGCAGAAGAAGCACCGGCUAACUCCGUGCCAGCAGCCGCGGUAAUAC